rnacentral:snRNA from 1 species
GCCGUCACACGGAAUCGAGA